rnacentral:snRNA from 1 species
AAGUGAGGGUGAUCUAGCUUCAACAUGUAUUGCCCCAGUGAUUGUCACGACUGACUCAGCUAAUUUUGCUGGCCAGGCAGGUGUCUCCUUCCUCCAUCACUACUCCAUGUGCAUCUCUCCCAAAGCUGUGUAGUCAAUGGCAGAGGGCAACCAGCCCGAAGAGACUCUACUGUUCUCUGGUCAAGGGCAGACAAUGCCUGCAGACUCCAAGACUGCUACAGAAAUUAUACAGUCUAGCUCCUUUCCACUAACCACUGACACUACUGCGCUUGGUCAGAGUAGUUGUC